AUGGUGGCGGCGGCGCCGUGCGCCACGCGGAGGUCGUUCAGGGACUCGCUCAAGGUGCUGGAGGCGGACAUCCAGCACGCCAACACCCUGGCGUCGGAGUGCUCGCGGGACUACGACGGGGCGUGCGUGCAGAUGCGCAUGUCCUACAGCCCCGCCGCGCGCCUCUUCCUCUUCCUCCUCCAGUGGACCGACUGCAGCCUCGCCGGCGCGCUCGGCCUCCUCAGGAUCCUCAUCUACAAGGUCUAUGUGGACGGCACAACCACCAUGUCCACCCACGAAAGGAAGGCCAGCAUCAGGGAGUUCUACGCUGUGAUAUUCCCCUCCCUCAUGCAACUGGAGCACGGGAUCAGCGACUCCGACGACCGGAGGCAGAGGGCGGCGUGCUCGGAGAGGUACAGGAGGAGAGACGAGCCGGAGGACAGCAAGAGGCCCGUCUCCGAGAUCGACGCCGAGAUAGAGGAGGAGUGCGGGAUCUGCAUGGAGCUCAACAGCAGGGUCGUGCUGCCCAACUGCAGCCACGACAUGUGCAUCAAGUGCUACCAUCAAUGGCGCACGAGAUCUCAGUCAUGCCCCUUCUGCCGGGACAGCCUCAAAAGAGUGAACUCCGGCGACCUAUGGAUGCUCACCGACCAGCGCGACGUCGUCGACAUGGCGACGGUGACGAGGGAGAACAUCAGGCGCCUGUUCGCAUACAUCGAGAAGCUGCCCCUCGUCACGCUGGACAACAUCUUCGAUGCCUAUGAUUCCCAUAGGAUGUUCCUCGUCCUAGGAUGUGGCUGA
rnacentral:rRNA from 1 species